GGAUGUGAGGACAAUCUUGCUGCAGCAUCUGUCACCCCAUUGAUCACCAGGGUCGAUCCAUCUGAUCUGGCCGGCUACGCAGGUAUCGCCUUCCUCCCUCACUGCUCCGUGCGCGCCCCUCCUGAAGCUGCCCGCUUGGUCAAAGAGGAGAACCUUUCCAGCGAGAGGAGGACCCAUCUUCGGUCAAGAGUAUAUGAGUAGGCCGGCGCCGCGGCUCACUAGGCUAAUCCUCCGCCUUGUGGCGCCUGCACACCGGGUUCUAGUCCCAGUCGAGGCGCCGGAUUCUGUCCCGGUUGCCCCUCUU
rnacentral:snRNA from 1 species